ACUACGCGUUUGUUUUGGUUUUCGUUUUGUGUUCCAUAAAUGUUUUGUGAUGCGGCCUGUAUCCAUUUUGUGGCUGAGAAAGUGAUGGUGGAUUCCAGUGGAUUCCGUACGUGAUUCCGUACCAGAGUCCUUCUUAAUUGCCCAUAACUCGCGGCUAGAAUCUAUACGGAAAACUUACGAUGCGGAAAGUUGGCCUUCGUCGUGAACCGGAAAGCUUUUCUGGGAAACCAGUUUCAUAACCACCGCUGCUGUCUUGGGUGCUACCGGCUUUCAGGAAGAUUCAAAUACCAUACCAAGAACAGCGACAUCGCAGUCAACUAUCCCCCAAACCAAAGAACUACAUAAAUUUGCACCGCACGCAGUCACCGACCGCAUCCUGAAGCAAUAACUGAUGUUCCUGAAACGCUCCGGCUGCAGCUAUUGUUUCGAAGAGAGACCAACGACCAACCAUCCCAGUAGUACCUAUAUGGCUCGCACAACCAACUGGCCCACCUGAAGUACCAGCUAAACUACUACCUGACCUGGAUUUAUGGAUUCGCUGCCGAUAAACGGAUCAAUGUGA